AUUGAACGCUGGCGGCAGGCCUAACACAUGCAAGUCGAGCGAGCGGCGGACGGGUGAGUAAUGUCUGGGAAACUGCCUGAUGGAGGGGGAUAACUACUGGAAACGGUAGCUAAUACCGCAUACCAUCAGAUGUGCCCAGGUGGGAUUGGCUAGUAGGUGGGGUAAUGGCUCACCUAGGCGACGAUCCAUAGCUGGUCUGAGAGGAUGACCGGCCACACUGGAACUGAGACACGGUCCAGACUCCUACGGGAGGCAGCAGUGGGGAAUAUUGCACAAUGGGCGAAAGCCUGAUGCAGCCAUGCCGCGUGUGUGAAGAAGGCCUUCGGAUCGUAAAGCACUGUCAGCGGGGAAGCGUUACUCGCAGAGGAAGCACCGGCUAACUCCGUGCCAGCAGCCGCGGUAAUAC
rnacentral:rRNA from 1 species